AGAAAAUACGUAAUAAAAAAAAUUAAAUAAAUAAAUAAAUAAAAAGGCAGUUGGUUUUAUACCCACUCCCACCAAGAAUUCUUCAGCACCAUUCAUACAAAAGAGUCCCCUCCUAGCCCUCUGCCCUAGCACUCAUAGCACACUCCUCCCCACAUAUACCUAUUUCUAGUGUAUGCCUGCCUGGAAUGCCUUCUUGCCCUGCCCUUCCCUUGUUACCACAAACUGCUGCUCACUUUCCCUAACAACCUAACAAACCCCACAGAGGUCCAGCUUCUAUCACUGUUUACACAGCCAACCACAAAUACCAGGCAGUGUAUGCCUUGCCAGUGAGGCUAUAAAUCCUUCAGCUUUUUCUCCUGCACCUUAGCACAGAUAUCUGGCAGGGAGGGCACAGAUGUGGCAGAACAGACAUGGAUGGAGAUCUGGGAAGGUCAUUAUGUAGACUAUCCCAAAAGGCCCUGAGACAGUUUUGCACACGAUCCAUUCUGUUGGAAGGCUCCAUGCUGAGCUCAAAUCACCUUCUUAUUUCAGUGUGGUCCUGUGUAAU
rnacentral:lncRNA from 1 species